GACGAACGCUGGCGGCGUGCUUAACACAUGCAAGUCGAACGGAAAGGCCCUGCUUGCAGGGUACUCGAGUGGCGAACGGGUGAGUAACACGUGGGUGAUCUGCCCUGCACUUCGGGAUAAGCCUGGGAAACUGGGUCUAAUACCGGAUAGGAGCCAGUUUUAGUGUGAUGGUUGGAAAGUUUUUUCGGUGUAGGAUGAGCUCGCGGCCUAUCAGCUUGUUGGUGGGGUAAUGGCCUACCAAGGCGGCGACGGGUAGCCGGCCUGAGAGGGUGGACGGCCACGUUGGGACUGAGAUACGGCCCAGACUCCUACGGGAGGCAGCAGUGGGGAAUAUUGCACAAUGGGCGCAAGCCUGAUGCAGCGACGCCGCGUGGGGGAUGACGGCCUUCGGGUUGUAAACUCCUUUCGCUAGGGACGAAGCUUUUUGUGACGGUACCUAGAUAAGAAGCACCGGCUAACUACGUG
rnacentral:rRNA from 1 species